AUUGAACGCUGGCGGCAUGCUUUACACAUGCAAGUCGAACGGUAACAGGCCUUCGGGUGCUGACGAGUGGCGAACGGGUGAGUAAUGCAUCGGAACGUACCCAGAGGUGGGGGAUAACGCAGCGAAAGCUGUGCUAAUACCGCAUGUGAUCUGGGGAUGAAAGCGGGGGACCGAGCAGCAAUGUUUGGCCUCGCGCCUUUGGAGCGGCCGAUGUCGGAUUAGCUAGUUGGUGGGGUAAAGGCCUACCAAGGCGACGAUCCGUAGCUGGUCUGAGAGGACGGUCAGCCACACUGGGACUGAGACACGGCCCAGACUCCUACGGGAGGCAGCAGUGGGGAAUGUUGGACAAUGGGCGCAAGCCUGAUCCAGCAAUGCCGCGUGCGGGAAGAAGGCCUUCGGGUUGUAAACCGCUUUUGGCAGGAACGAAACGGUGUCCGCUAAUACCGGGCGCUAAUGACGGUACCUGCAGAAUAAGCACCGGCUAACUACGUG
rnacentral:rRNA from 1 species